GGUGGUAGUGAUGAAAUUUGCGCUAUAGAUAGAAAUUUUCUUCUUUGUAACCAAAGACUUGAUAAGAAAAAUGCAAAUGUUGAGCAUAAAAGACACAGCUUAAAAUCAAACUUGAUCAUUGUCAAUUCUCUUAGCACAAAAAUAAAACCCUGUUUGGAGCUAAUAUAUGUACAUUGGAUCUCCACAAAACAGCAAUGGCUCUGUGGAUACAAAUUCACUGCAUGUUUAUAAAAGUGAGAACAAGGUGAAAUGCUCUACAUGAGCAAUGGCUCUGUGGAUACAAAUUCACUGAUGUUUAUAAAAGUGAGAACAAGGUGAAAUGCUCUACAUGAACAAGGUACAUUGGAUCUUCACACAACAGCGCUGGUUCUGUCCAUUUACCUAGUUAGUGAAUUAUGCUCCUUGAUCAGUUGCUUCUACCGACAUAUGUGUUUGACUUCUUACUGUUGGAAUCUUUCUUUGCAAUUCAAUAUUUGACAUCCGCUCGGCCUCCAAUGCUCGCUCAAGCUUUCAUAACAUCAUUAAUAAAAGGUUUUAGCAGAACAUUUCAACAACUAUAAAGCUCAACAUAUUAUUCUAACGAUAUGGAUAUUCACAUAUUACACUUAAUUAUUAAUAGUACCUUGGCAGCUCGGGUGCUCCAUUCUCCUAAAAUAGCUCUGAGUCUUUCAUUCUCUUCUACAUACUGUAAUGAUUAUAACCAGAAUUCUACUAUGAGCAUCUAAUAGUCGAAGGUAGUAUAAUUUUAGUAUGGUUAAAUGUAUUUUUAAUUCCAAUAACACUGAUAAAGUGUGAUUUUGAUACAAAAACUGUGUGCAUUUUUUUUGGAAUACAAAAAAAAUAAAUUAGGGGAGGGACACCUUUAUGCAAGAAAGAACCACUGCCUUUAGCGAUGAUUUACAAUGGAAUUUACGUAUAGCUUAUGACUUGAUAAAUUUCAGAGUUGAACUCAAGUCACAGCAAUUGUGAAUGGAAGGUCUAAUCGUCUGUGUCAACCCUAAUUGGUUUGUGUGAUUUUAGUUUACUGUUAAAAUACUAAAUAUCAAGGGACUAAAAAAUGCAAUUUUUGUUAAAUGUUAAAGACUAAAAUGAAUAAACUUUUUAAAGUGAUCCAAUCAAAUUUUACCAAGUUUUUAGAAAUAAAAAACAUUUAACCCCUUUAGUAUUAGUAAAUCCUGCAUGAUACCUGAUUGUUAGUCGUGCGGACACUUUGGAUCUCCGAGUCCCUUUCAGCAAUCAAGGACCUUGCAAGCUUUAGUUCAGAUUGUACUUGGUUCAUCUGUAACAAAAAUUUCAAGCAAGGAUCCGUUUAGUUCGAGCAAUUGGGUUUGAAUGAUAUCUGGUGACAUUUAAAAAUGAGUUGGUGGGGGGGUAAGACAUAUUGUUAAAAUCACUAAUUUAUUGAUUUAUAGUGUAAAUUCAAUAAUAUACUAGUUUCUUAGAUGAAUAAUUAUGUCAAUAUCGACUGUUCAUAAUGUUUGAAGAAUGUCCAAUUACAUUUUAGCAGAAAAACACCACUAAAGUAAAACGAGUUCUGGAAAAAAAAAAAUGAAGGCCAUAAGAUUUCUAGAGCAUAAUACUUAACUAAUUGCUCUAUUUGCACAAAUGGAAUCGAUGCUUAGAAUCUCAUGACCAAUGGUGUCCUCCAAAACUUCCAGACUAGCCAUCAUUUGAAGGCUGGGAUGGGAAAAAUAUAAUACAAGCCGUGAACUAAUCAACUUCAAAUAAUUCACUUAGCUUUCGUCACUUAACUGUUCGACCUAUCUUAGGUUCUACAUCUCACUUAACUGUCCAACCUACCUACUAGAGUUAUCUUCAUGUGGAAGUAUUGUAGCUAGUUAGGAGAGUGUGCUAGGUACUUGUAGCUGUAUGCAAUAACAUUUAAAACUAGAACAGGACAGUAAUUACCUCGGCAGAAAUUGUACGCAAUUCUUGGUCACGAGCGGCUAGUAGAUGAGCAAGGUCAACCUGCAAUAUAAGCAAUUUAUUUCCCCAGGUAGACAAAGAUGGAGCCACAAAUAUUUACAGAAACCAAGAGUUGUUAAGGAGCUAUGCUAGUAUGGAGUUUUUUUUUUUUUUUUUUUAUUUUAUUUAAAUUCUAUAUUUGGUUUGUCUAAACUAUACAAUUCAAGCCUAGCUCAUUGUUAUUUAACCUACAAGGCUCGAAGUUUUACUGAGUUCAAGUUUGGUUCAUUGAGCUUCAGUGGGUUUUGAGCUCAAGUUGAGAAAACAGGCUCAAAUUCUUGCCAGGUUUAUCCUGACAUGACAUAUUCUAAGUGAGCGGAACCUAAUUUUAUCAAGUCCGAGCUUUGCUAAACUUGACUCGUUGCCAUUCCUAUGCAAAAUAAUUUUUCAACUAUCAAUGAAAUGGAUGACAACAACAGGUUUAAAGGUAAUUGAAACAAGAUUUACGAAAUUCCCCCACUAUAAAUAUAUUUCAAUUUUUUUUUUUUUUUUCAGAGGAAAUAUAUUCCAAAAGUUAUUAAAUAUAAUGAGCAAGGUCAAAGAGCAAUGAAAGAAAUUUGUUCCCUAAAAAAUGGAAUGAUUGAUUGUAGGGCUACAAUUAUGUAUCUAAAACUAGAUGCCAACCAAUCUUGAAGAUCUCAACUGUCAGGGUUGAAUAGAGAACUGUUUUUUAGCAGGAAGGAUUUUGAAUAUAAAUUGAUUAAACUUCAACAUGGUACUCUGGUUUACAUCACAAGGUGAAUUCAGAUUGCAGUACAUCACUACUAAUCUACUAUUUCAGCAAAGACAUUUUCUAUCUCAUAUUAAAAUGACAUUGAGUAUGUCUAGAUGGAUAAGCCACAACAACACAUACUCAAUGUCAUGGGCAUAAAACAUAAUAUCAAAUAGAGAUAUAACACAUAAGAAUUUAAAAUUAAGUUGGAAAAGUGAAGACUAGGAAGAGGAAUAGUUUAUCUGUGUUCAUUAUUACCUGAGGUGUGCUUCGAUCAUCAGUUCCUUCAUAUUUGCUCAAAGACUCUUGCAAACGAAGAAUCUGUAAGACAAAAUGUCUAUGAAUUAAUUUAUGCACAGUGGAACCUCUACACUAUCAGUACAAUACAAGUUAAAGUGUAUAUAAUGAAACAAAUAAGUGAAAGCUUCAAAUCCUGAGAUACCUCCUCACUCAAAAAAUGAAGAUUUUCACGCUGAUAUUGUAACAAAGCCAUUUGCUGAUCAGAGAGCCUACCAUCAUAGUACCUGUUGCAUCAAGGCAUACUAAUUACACAGUUUACAUUCUUCGCAAUCCAAGAACCCAGUGUUUGAUAUGUGUUUGCAAAUGUAAUUUCAAUUUCUUUUAUAUUUGCAUGACAUGAAUGGAAUGCACAAAAGGCAGAUUUCUGUGCAUUCUGAAAUACUAUGAUUUGCCAAACAAAGUAAUUUUGUGGUUCUUCACAAUCCAGAAACGCAAUGUUUGAUGGGUUUGCAUAUGCAAUUUGCACUUGUGCUUUUGCAUAACAUGAAUGGAAUGCAUAAAAGGUGCAGUAGGUAGAUCAUGGUGCAUUUUGUGGUUCGAGAAUUAAACGUGGAUAUUGAAUGAUGAAGUAAUUAAGAAAGAAACUAAAUUACAAAAUGUUUGCCUUAGACCCUCCAAAGAACUUGCUGGUUGUAGUGGUGAAUACAAGGACUUCAGAACAUCAGGAUGGGAGUUCAAUGAAUUGUACUGGUGUAUGUAUCCUGCUUAUACAGAAAAAGCACAUAGGAAGAAUUACAUAAAAAUACUACUACGAUAACAAAUAUACAAAAAUGGGAUAUUAUUAUUAUAUAAGUGAACUGAAUUUGCAGAAAAUACAUAAAUAUUUCAUCAGUAGGGUAGAUGGGUAGAAUGCAAUACAUAUUUCCAAAUUUUUCAGCCAAUUAGGGGUGCUGUCCUCCCCUCCCCAAGACUCAAUACACUAUUAUAGUUUUUCAAAAAGACAAUCUUAAGCUUGUUCACUUUUUUUAUACAUAUAAUUUACUACAUAUCAAUAAAUGUUCCCAGGUUUUUCAUCCAAUGAAUGGCCGUUCGUGGCACCUGAAGGCUGAAAGAAUUUCUUUAAAUGUCCUUAUAUAUGUAUAACUUUUUUAUAAAACAAUGUUCCCAUAAAAGAAACUAAUCUUAAUAGGAAGUUUAUAGCAUUGUUAACCUCCCUUAAAAAUACGAAAGGAUUAUAACUUACCAAUGUAAAGGCUCAUAAAACAUCCAGCACAUAAUGCUUCGACAACCAUAAUAAUCCUGCAGAGUUUUGAGGCAACCAAAGUAAAACGUCUUGGUAGAUGAAUGUUGAAGUUGUGAGAUUUUGGAUAAAAUGAUGAGAAAAAUAAUAAGAGUUUGAAUAUUAUUGAUAAUAGCUUGAUACAAACUUCAUACAAAAGACUAAACACCAAUUCUUAUUUAUAGGGAUACAUAUACCAAAACCUAAAUAAAUAGGAAAAUCAAGAGCAAAUAUAAUAAUGAUAAUAAUAAUAAUAAUAAUAAUAAUAAUAAUAAUAAUAAUAAUAAUAAUAAUAAUAAUAAUAAUAAUAAUAAUAAUAAUAAAAUAAUUGUUGCACGAUAUGAAAUAUCAAAUUUCAUUUGAUUACGGCCAAUUUAAAUGUAGAACCGUUAACAAGCCUAGACGUAAACAACCAAACUCUUGUCCCCUACCAAGUAUAUAUGUUGCAGCCAAAAGUUCCAAAAACAGCAAUGUAUCGAGCAUCACUAUUUACAAGCAAGACCAUCAUAAUACAACACUAACAUAACAAAGUAUACUCAUUCAACCAAACAUGCAAAAAAGCGUCAUUGUUUUUCCUGUACUUCAUGGCAACAUAUGCUGUCUCCAACAAAAACUCAAAGUUUGUAGCAUUUAAUCACCAAUCAAAUUUAUAAAUUUAUAAGAAAUUUCUAUCGAUAAGAAUCACAUUAAGCAGUCCUUCAUAUUUAGAAGCAGCAUUCUCCUGCUGAUAUUCCAUUGAAUAACCAUAAAAAAUGUCUUAAAUGGACAAGUAUGACCCAGUGAUGAUAAUACCUCAAUAUUCCAGAGAUUGACAGAGAACCAGUGUAAGGUUUCCAGACUAUAACAAGUAGCAUUGCAGCAGUUCCUGGCAUUAAAUCAAAUUGUUGAGAAUAUUAGUAUUAUAUUAUAAUUAAGAACUCGUAUUAUAAAACUAUCCAUGUUGAAAACAUUCAUCUGCUUCCACCUAACAAUUUAAGCUUUUGGGUCGAUUUGGUUCUUGACAGUUGCCACAUAUGUAUCAAUUGACUUCACGUGUUAAAUACCUUCUAAAAGUAAAGUCCAAACACUGAAAUGCUUACCAUAAGCUGUAAUGGAAAAGGGUAUGCGAACGAUAAAUUUCAACUUCUGGCUGAAACUAUAAUAGCCCUGAGAAAACACAUCAAUGAUUAAGAACAUAACUAAAGAGGAAAACAACAUAAAAUAAAAUAUAAAAGAAACCUUCAUAGACCCAUGUAGCAAAAUUUCUUUUAAUGUUUCACAGAUCUAACUGUAUUGAACUUUCAGAUUCCAGAGUUUUAUAAGGUAAAUGCUUCCGAACAAAUAUGAGAGAUGGACAAAUUAAGACACUACUGUGACAAAAAAGUACUAGCAAUCGAACGAAUUACCUGCAAUCGUAUCUUCUGCACUUGAUAAACCAGAUAUUGUUGAAAGAUCCCUGAAACCGUAAAGACGCGACAUUUGAACCCAAUAAAAAGUGCUUUAAAUCUAAUCCCAAAUAAAAUGACAUUUAUUAGGCUUAUAAAGAUUUAUAAAUAAUGUUUAAUUCUAUGCAUUACCAUUUACAAAUACAACAUCAAUGUAAACUCUAAAGGGGAUUUUAGCUGCUUUAAUUCACCAAAAAUUUAAACGUUAUCCAAUUACCCUACGCCAAAUUCAAUUAACAGAAGCCUAGGAUAGAAUUAUCACAUAAUUUAUUCCAAAGAACUCAGCAAACACGGCACACCAAUCAGAAAAUUAUCGACAUCCAAAUAAAAGAACUGAGAACAACUAAUGACAUUGGUUCUAGAACCAAACCUGUCAACAGCAAAAGAAGAACAUCACAACUACAUAACACUGGAGAAAUCAAUCCUUGCACAGGCCGAAAUAUCCAUUGAGCUCCUACAGCCAAAGUAGUAUAACCUGCCUAAAAUGGAAAAAACAAUAAGCAAAUUAUCACACCGUAACAAUAUUCUUAACGCAACAAACUUAUGUAGGACUGGCACUUCAUAUUGAAGAUGUCAGUUAUCCAACAAAGACACCUACAUAACACCAAUACAUGUGGUUUCAUUUAAUCGCUUUUAUUUUCUUAAAUUAUUAUUGUCUGCAUGUGAAUAUCGGGAUUCUUAAAUUAGCAAAUCAUCACGCAUUCAUAAUAUUCUUAACGCAACAAACCUAUAUAUCACCAACACUUCAUAUUGAAGGUGUCCAUUGUCUGACACAGAAACCUACACGACACCACUGAUAAACAUGCUUUCACUCAAUCACUAUUAUUUUCUUAAAUUAUUAUGGUGUCUACCUGUCGGUAUCAGUGUCGUGUUCGUAUUUGUGCUUCAUAGCAACAAACUAUCAAAUUAAACAAAACAAAUCAAAUCACAUCAUAAAUUAUCAGUGCCUAGUGUCACUAUCAGUAUCGUAUCCUUGUAUGUUCUACAUAGCAACAAACUAUCAAAUUCAACAAAAAGAAAAUCACCAUCAUCAUAUGUUAUUAAUGUCCACAUCUCAAGCUCAGUAUCGUGUAUGUACUUCAUAGCAGCAAACUAUCAAAUUAAAUAAAAAAAAUCACAUCAUAAAUUACCGGUGCCUACGUGUCAUUCUCGUGUCAUUAUCAGUAUCGUGUCUGUGAAUGUACUUAAUAGCCACAAAACUAUCAAAUUAAUUGAAAAAACCAUCAUCUUAUAUCAUCAGUGUCCACGCCUGCGUGUCAGUAUCAGUAUUGUAUCAUGCUUCAUAGCAACAAACAAUCAAAUUCAACUAAAAAUCAUCAACAUAUAUUAUCAAAUCAAAUAAAAUCUCUAUAAAAAAAGUAUAAACUUACCAGUAGUAUGCAAUACAAAACACUCCCAAAAAUCCUUGCAGGUUUGCGAUGAGCAAAUAAAGGAGCUUCAUGAAGUAUAUCCAGAAAUCUACAUCAAAAUUAAAAAUAAAGCUUGAUUUUGCAUGCAUCAUAAAAAACUGAACUAUUGAAAUCAAAAUUCGGAAGAAAUUGAAAAAUUGGGAGCGUGAUUACUGACAGAGCGUUUUCUUCUUGAGAUGUGGGUGGCCGAGAAGAGAAUCUCUCCGUUGCCAUUUUCUUCUAGAUUUGAAUCAAGGGUUUGGAAAAAGGAUGAAGGUUCUUCUUCUUCUUCUUCUUAUUGUUCAUCAAUGAAAAUUGAGUUAUGUCAUUUCAAAUCCAUAUUUUUGUUACCAUCUAAAUUUAAUUACAUCAUCAAGUAUAUAUAACUCACUUGUGAUAAUUAUUAUUAAAAAUAUUUUUAUGGUAAUUAUUAAAUGUUUUUAUGUUGUUUUAUUGAUUUUUCUUAUGAGAUGUUUGAUUCAUCAUUGGAUUAUAAAUAAGGGAGAUAUACUAAAGAUGGUUUAAGGUUUGGAUCU
rnacentral:lncRNA from 1 species